AAUCCGCUGGUUAGCCAAAUGUGGAGUUAUUAUGCAGACAUAUAUACAUCGGGAUAAGUCAUUGACACUUUUGUUUUCUUUACGCAAAUCUUUGGAGUAAGAGCUUCUCUGAAGAUGGGUGACAAUUGGACGUAACGUACGGGAUCCGUGCAAGCAGGUUUUGAUCAUCUUUUGGUUUCGGCUUAAAAUGUAGACAAGAGUAGCAGCUUCAUGUACGUAGCAGAGAAGCUGUGUAUAAGUGUAUUUACUAAUUGACAUACCUCUUCUGGGCUUGUGUGGGUUGUGAUUUGUGUGCGCGUCAAAGGAGACAGUUGCAGGGAGAUCAGCAAGGCCUUAUUCAUUAAUAUUGUCUUGAUACUGAAGUCCUUUUGAGUCGGAAGCUUGAUUCCAAUAAGUACAAGUGUACAAACUUAUUUUCGAAAAAAAAAAAUGUCCAUGAAGCUGGGGACUCAUUUUCAAACUUAGCAAAUGGCAAGGAGCUAAUUGGAGGUGCCAACAAUUUCCAAACAUAUGCAUGUGGAUAACACACAGCUGACUGGUAGGUUUGCUUCUACAGUUAGAUCAAACUAUCUGAUCUGUUGCCCUGGACUAAUGGUUGUAAAGGAUCCCUGCUGCUUGUAAUUUUCAUCAACUAGGUAUGGUACUCCUUUUUUUUUGUCCGUGAGCAGUGUUUGUGCUGCUUGGUCUAUGUAAUUGAGUGCCCUAUGUGGUAUAUAUAGUGAGCAUCACCUCCCUCACUGCUUGUAAAAAUAAAGCUUAAACUUAUCCAAAAAUAAAAAGAAGUAUGUUCUAUUAUAUAUACACAAGCUAAGGGUUGAUCUCCUGCAAUUAAUUUCUGUGAAAUGAUUUUAUAGCUUUACACAUAAUAAUAACCUCUCAGUCACGGACGUAAUAAUAAGAUAAUUUCUGUGAAAUUGUAGAAGAUAGAACAUAAUAGAUUAUUCAUAAAAACACAAGGUUCUACAGACAGACACUAAAUAUAUAUUCGGGAGGCUCACGAUUCUCCCAUUGUCGCCACCUAAACUGGGACACAGCAGACAUCUGUUUGUGGCUUCUUAAUCUUACUGCACCCUGCAACAUAUAGUGAAAACCAAAAUGUAAUUAGAAAUCAAUAAAAAGUUUUAGCGACUCAAAUUUAGUGGUAAAUAUAAAACAUAAGUUUGAAUUUAGACAAGCAAAAUCUUCCAACAUUUGUACUGUCGUAGAAAUUAAUAAAUGACUCGUAGCAUGGUAAUACUUUCUAUGCAGUGGGGAGGUGUUAUAAAGAAGAUUUAG
rnacentral:lncRNA from 1 species